rnacentral:rRNA from 1 species
UACGUAGGCAGCGAGCGUUGUUCGAGUUACUGGCGUAAAGGGUGUGAGUAGGCGGUUGCUUAAGUUUGGUGUGAAAUCUCCCGGCUCAACUGGGAGGGUGCGCCGAAUACUGAGUGACUAGAGUGCGGGAGAGGAAAGUGGAAUUCCUGGUGUAGCGGUGAAAUGCGUAGAUAUCAGGAGGAACACCGGUGGUGUAGACGGCUUUCUGGACCGUAACUGACGCUGAGACACGAAAGCGUGGGUAGCAAACAGG